rnacentral:misc_RNA from 1 species
CAGAGUUGCAAAACUCCCAAACCAUUGUGAACUUACCUACCCCGUUGCUUCGGCGGGCGGCCCGGGCCCCGCGCCCGGCGCCCCCCGGCCCCCCGUGGGCGCCCGCCGGAGGUAAAACAAACCCUUGAAUUGCAUGGCCUCUCUGAGUCUUCUGUACUGAAUAAGUCA